GGACCAUCAUGUUGGUCGUGCCUUGGUAUGUACUGGCAUUGUUGGUUUCUCCCUUCUGACGAACCAUGAUGUCAUUUAUUUGGUGUUGUGGGAAAUCAGGACUGUUUUACUUUGAAAAAUUAGUGUUUAAAGCAGGCUCACGCUUGAAUACAUUAGCAUGGAAUAAUGAAAUAGGACGUUUGAUUCUAUUUUGUUGGUUUCUAGGAUCGACGUAAUGAUUAA
rnacentral:rRNA from 1 species